rnacentral:misc_RNA from 1 species
GAUGAAGAACGCAGCGGAAUGCGAUAAGUAAUGUGAAUUGCAGAAUUCAGUGAAUCAUCGAAUCUUUGAACGCACAUUGCGCCCGCCAGUAUUCUGGCGGGCAUGCCUGUUCGAGCGUCAUUUCAACCAUCAAGCCCCCGGCUUGUGUUGGGGACCUGCGGCUGCCGCAGGCCCUGAAAUGCAGUGGCGGGCUCGCUGUCACUCCGAGCGUAGUAGUUACAUCUCGCUCUGGGCGUGCUGCGGGUUCCGGCCGUUAAAAGCCUUAUUUACCCAAGGUUGACCUCGGAUCAGGUAGGAAGACCCGCUGAACUUAAGCAUAUCAAUAAGCGGAGGA